AUGCUGCCAGGCUGGGGCUUGGCUCACCAGGCCAAGCUGGGAUUGUUUCUCCUGAACGGGGGAGACUUGCCAAGGUGGCACUGGGCCCCUGAGGGCUGUAGGAGCCCCUUUGCCCACACCCCCGGGGCACAGGUUUGUAGGCUAAGCUCACACCCCUGCAGGGCCACGGACAAAGGCAGAUGGGAGCUGCUGGGGGACAGGCCACGUGCACGGCUCAUGCAGUGGAAGGGGCAUCCGAGACCACGCUGGUGUCCCCCGGACAGAGCAGGGGAUGGCUCAGGCUUGGACCUGCUCAGAUGUCUGCGCGACGACUUCGGCAAGAAGAGCCUGGGGGCCUGCAGGCCAGCGGGACCCCGCUCGCGCCAGUGCCUGGCUCGAGUCAGCCACGCGGGCCAGCCCGGUCACAGCCAUCGGCACCCGUGGACAACACAACCCGUCUCGGGAGCGCGGGGCAGGCGCAGCUCUGGGGGACGCUGGCCGGGAGCGCGAGGGCUGCGGGUGGGAUGGUACCCCCCGGCACCGCUCACGGGCAUCUCUCCCGCGCAGGGGUGGGGGCUGCCCUGUGCUGACCCGACGGACCCCUCUGCUCGCCGAGGCUGGCCAAGCAGCUCCAGUUCACUCUCUGGGGAUUGGUCCCUGAGCUUGCCCAGAACAGGCCGGCGGAUACGGUUUCCCUUCUCACUGCACGUGGUAAAGACAGCGCUGCCGCGGGCUGAGGGAGGGAGACGGCCCUGUGUCUCCUGCCACAAUCCCCCCCCUCGGGGUAUUGCAACAGAAUUAAAAAAGCAAUUAAAGCCGGAAAGGAGGGGCCCAUCCCGCUGCAAAGGGGGCUGGCUUCGUCUCUGGGAGGCAGUCUGCAUGCUGAUGGGAUGCAGCGUAAUCUCUGUACGCGCGCUCGGGGAGGAUGGCAGUGUGCUAGCUCCUGAUCUCACCAGACGCAGCACAAUGCAUGGCGGCGAGAUGCUGCUUUCGUACCUCCCUAAUGAAUUUUGGCACGGCUUCUUAUUUAAAUUGGUGGUUGAGCUCCUACUUGCAGAGAGCAGAGAACCAUUAUUUAUGACCCUCCUUUACAACCUCUUUAAGAGAGAAAGCACAGUCCCUAAAUAUUUAAUUGCUUCUUUCUCUAAAGGCAGGUAG
rnacentral:lncRNA from 1 species